AUCCAACUGACGAGUCACAAAUAAGAUGAAACGUACGUCCUGGAU
rnacentral:hammerhead_ribozyme from 1 species